GACGAACGCUGGCGGCGUGCCUAAUACAUGCAAGUAGAACGCUGAAGAGAGGAGCUUGCUCUUCUGGAUGAGUUGCGAACGGGUGAGUAACGCGUAGGUAACCUGCCUGGUAGCGGGGGAUAACUAUUGGAAACGAUAGCUAAUACCGCAUAAUAGUUUAUGACUCAUGUUAUAAACUUGAAAGAUACAACUGUAUCACUACCAGAUGGACCUGCGUUGUAUUAGCUAGUAGGUAGGGUAACGGCCUACCUAGGCGACGAUACAUAGCCGACCUGAGAGGGUGAUCGGCCACACUGGGACUGAGACACGGCCCAGACUCCUACGGGAGGCAGCAGUAGGGAAUCUUCGGCAAUGGGGGGAACCCUGACCGAGCAACGCCGCGUGAGUGAAGAAGGUUUUCGGAUCGUAAAGCUCUGUUGUUAAGGAAGAACGGGAGUAGGAGUGGAAAGCCUACUUUGUGACGGUACUUAACCAGAAAGGGACGGCUAACUACGUGCCAGCAGCCGCGGUAAUACGUAGGUCCCGAGCGUUAUCCGGAUUUAUUGGGCGUAAAGCGAGCGCAGGCGGUUAGAUAAGUCUGGAGUAAAAGGCUAUGGCUCAACCAUAGUGUGCUCUGGAAACUGUUUAACUUGAGUGCAGAAGGGGAGAGUGGAAUUCCAUGUGUAGCGGUGAAAUGCGUAGAUAUAUAGAGGAACACCGGUGGCGAAAGCGGCUCUCUGGUCUGUAACUGACGCUGAGGCUCGAAAGCGUGGGGAGCGAACAGG
rnacentral:rRNA from 1 species